CGCAUUAUGAUGUAAUUGGAAACAUAUAAGGCUCAUAACCUUUUUAUAUACGUUCGACUCGUGUUAAUGCAU
rnacentral:tRNA from 1 species